rnacentral:rRNA from 1 species
AUUGAACGCUGGCGGCAUGCCUUACACAUGCAAGUCGAACGGCAGCGGGGGAGCUUGCUCCUGCCGGCGAGUGGCGAACGGGUGAGCAAUGCAUCGGAACGUGUCCUGUUGUGGGGGAUAACUGAUCGAAAGAUCAGCUAAUACCGCAUGAGACCUGAGGGUGAAAGCGGGGGAUCGAAAGACCUCGCGCGACAGGAGCGGCCGAUGUCUGAUUAGCUAGUUGGUGAGAUAAAAGCUUACCAAGGCGACGAUCAGUAGCUGGUCUGAGAGGAUGAUCAGCCACAUUGGGACUGAGACACGGCCCAGACUCCUACGGGAGGCAGCAGUGGGGAAUUUUGGACAAUGGGGGAAACCCUGAUCCAGCCAUGCCGCGUGCGGGAUGAAGGCCUUCGGGUUGUAAACCGCUUUUGUCAGAGACGAAAAGGGACGCACGAAUAAUGCGUCCCGCUGACGGUAUCUGAAGAAUAAGCCCCGGCUAACUACGUGCCAGCAGCCGCGGUAAUACGUAGGGGGCAAGCGUUAUCCGGAUUUACUGGGUGUAAAGGGAGCGUAGACGGCGAAGCAAGUCUGAAGUGAAAACCCAGGGCUCAACCCUGGGACUGCUUUGGAAACUGUUUUGCUAGAGUGUCGGAGAGGUAAGUGGAAUUCCUAGUGUAGCGGUGAAAUGCGUAGAUAUUAGGAGGAACACCAGUGGCGAAGGCGGCUUACUGGACGAUAACUGACGUUGAGGCUCGAAAGCGUGNGGAGCANACAGG